AUUUUCAAUAUUUCUUUCCUUUCAGGUAACAAUCACAUCUAGUGUUCAAUAGAGACUACAAUGGUGCUUUUCGCCGCGUUGUGUAUUUCUGUUGUUGUUCAAAUACAAGGUCACAGUUGGUCUAGAUGGUAUGAUCGCGACAACCCUUCGGGUACCGGCGACUGGGAAACUGUCGCUGAUCUGCGGAAAUCUCACUACAUUUGUGGUGGUUGCAAGCCGAUUGGGGCCGAGUGUCGUGUUAAAGGCACCUCUACUGUCUUCACGCGCUGGAGG